AUUGAACGCUGGCGGCAGGCCUAACACAUGCAAGUCGAGCGGAUGAAGGGAGCUUGCUCCUGGAUUCAGCGGCGGACGGGUGAGUAAUGCCUAGGAAUCUGCCUGGUAGUGGGGGAUAACGUCCGGAAACGGGCGCUAAUACCGCAUCCGUCCUGAGGGAGACAGUGGGGGAUCUUCGGACCUCACGCUAUCAGAUGAGCCUAGGUCGGAUUAGCUAGUUGGUGGGGUAAAGGCCUACCAAGGCGACGAUCCGUAACUGGUCUGAGAGGAUGAUCAGUCACACUGGAACUGAGACACGGUCCAGACUCCUACGGGAGGCAGCAGUGGGGAAUAUUGGACAAUGGGCGAAAGCCUGAUCCAGCCAUGCCGCGUGUGUGAAGAAGGUCUUCGGAUUGUAAAGCACUUUAAGUUGGGAGGAAGGGCAGUAAGUUAAUACCUUGCUGUUUUGACGUUACCAACAGAAUAAGCACCGGCUAACUUCGUG
rnacentral:rRNA from 1 species